GUGGGGAAUCUUCCGCAAUGGACGAAAGUCUGACGGAGCGACGCCGCGUGAGUGAAGAAGGCCUUCGGGUCGUAAAGCUCUGUCAUCAGGGACGAACGGCCGGUGGAGUGGAAAGCCACCGGAUUGACGGUACCUGAGAAGGAAGCCACGGCUAACUACGUGCCAGCAGCCGCGGUAAUACGUAGGUGGCAAGCGUUGUCCGGAAUUAUUGGGCGUAAAGCGCGCGCAGGUGGGAUCUUAAGUCCAUUUUUAAAGUUCGGAGCUCAACUCCGUGAUGGGAUGGAAACUGGGUUUCUUGAGUACCGGAGAGGAAAGCGGAAUUCCCCGUGUAGCGGUGAAAUGCGUAGAUAUGGGGAGGAACACCAGUGGCGAAGGCGGCUUUCUGGACGGUGUCUGACACUGAGGCGCGAAAGCCAGGGGAGCGAACGGGAUUAGAAACCCUGGUAGUCC
rnacentral:rRNA from 1 species